GUGGGGAAUAUUGGGCAAUGGGCGCAAGCCUGACCCAGCGACGCCGCGUGAGGGAAGACAGCCUUCGGGUUGUAAACCUCUGUUGCAGGGGAAGAAGGAAGUGACGGUACCCUGCGAGGAAGCUCCGGCUAACUACGUGCCAGCAGCCGCGGUAAUACGUAGGGAGCGAGCGUUGUCCGGAAUUACUGGGCGUAAAGGGCGCGUAGGCGGCGCUUCAAGUCGUCUGUCAAAUGGGAGGGCUUAACCCUUUUUCGCAGACGAAACUGGAGAGCUUGAGAAGCAGAGAGGCAAACAGAAUUCCUGGUGUAGCGGUGAAAUGCGUAGAUAUCAGGAAGAAUACCAGUGGCGAAGGCGGUUUGCUGGCUGCAUACUGACGCUGAAGCGCGAAAGCCAGGGGAGCAA
rnacentral:rRNA from 1 species